CAGACCGCAACCAGACGCCAGAUGUUUUGUAAUAUAUUCAGAUAAAAAGGCAUUAAUAUUUUACAGUACGAACGACCUUGUCUACAGUCUGAGAAACAGUGUUGCUGAGAAAAUUUCUGGUAAGUUUGUUCAUGUUUCUACAUUACAUUCACACGAGAGCUGACGGAUCGCAACUGGACGCAAAUAAGUCGCAUUUCAUUUGUUCACACGGGGAUUCGUGUGGUUAUCUGUGAUCAAAUUAUCUGGUUUCAAACCUCGCGUGUAAACAAGAAGCGAGAUUGUUAACAUUUGAGUACAAAUUUGAGUAUGGUACAGAACUCCUCCUGUCUGACACUCAAAUUUUUGCGAUUUCGUCUAGCGCGCAUUCAUGGAACGCAAGAAACCAGAUGUACUAGAGCACAGCUGUAGUGUAGGAAUUCCCGUGUGGACAAAUGAAGGAGAACAAUUGAUGUGAUAUAAUCUUGAAGUGUGUAUGCCAGUGUAGGUAGUGCCAAUAAUAUGAACAAGCUUUCGUUGCUAGGGAUGCAACUACCUGAAAAAUAUAAGGAGAAUUUCGACGUUUCAAGUGAAGGCCCUUCGUCUGGAGUUACUGGAUGAAGGAUCUUCGCUCGAAACGUCGAAAUUCUCCUUAUAUUAUAUACGUAUAUGAACAAUUGAUGUACAAUUCCAAAUUCACUUGGUCUCGCGUGAACAGGGUCUCCUGCGCAAAUAUUUCCAUUGUAAGUUCUUAGCAAGCCCUAAAGCCUGCCGCACACGAGAGCUAUCUGCUGAGCAAAAAGUUACUCGUGCCUGUUAGCUCAGCCGAUAGCUCACCGAUCAAACAUGUUUGAUACGUGAGAAAAGGUUGCAUGAGGCAAAAAACUCAGUAAAAUGUACCCGCACACGGUGAGCUAUCGGCUGAGCUAACAGGCACGAGUAACUUUUUGCUCAGCAGAUAGCUCUCGUGUGCGGCAGGCUUAACGAGUUGCUUUGAGUGAUAGUCAUUACACUCUGGCAUAAAAUAUUCUAUUGACCAAUUCCGCGUCUCGAGUAUAAAACGCUUAUAUACAGCUAUGUUUCAUGUUUUGCGUUGAAAUAAAGGAAAAGAAAUGUUGCCUUAUUCGAUCUUAAUGAACAUUAGAUCUAUAUAUUUUGGUAUUCGUGGUAAUGUAGACUUUUCAUAUUCAUUGCUUGUUUAAACAUGUAAUGCGCAUGUGCAGUUAGGGAUGGGCCACAGAAUAACAUCGCGAAUAAAUUGUGUUCAUUUCUGAAAUUCUGACCUGCAAUAACUUUAUUAUGUCAGAUCGAGUGUAAAAUAUAGGAUACACUAGAAAUACAUUACUGCAAACCCCUAUAGCUUGCCCAAAUUCCUGAGAGUUUAAAUCUCGUGUGCUCAAUGCUUAUAAAGAAUAAGAACUCAUCAUCAAUCUCUGUAAACUUGAUAGCUUAACAGGUAGAGCAGUGGACUGAUUCCUGAAGAUUGAGAGUUUAAAUCUCGUGUACUUAUAAAGGAUAAGAACUCAUCACCAUGCAAUCUCUGUAGACUUGGUAACUAAACAAGGUUGAGAGGUUCCUUAGUGUUAAUUUUUCAUUAUGAUUUACAGAUAAAUUUUCCAAGAAAAUUUACGAUCUCCCUUGACACUAAAGAAGACAGUAAUUUCCCUGGUCAUUGAACAUUGAAAGGAAAUGCUUAUCUGGGUUCUGCCUUACAGGUAAAUAGCUUUAUGCGCAGGUUUUUACGCAUACAUGCUCUAACGCAAUUUUGAC
rnacentral:lncRNA from 1 species